rnacentral:rRNA from 1 species
GGGGAAGGGUAGCUUGCUACCUGACCUAGCGGCGGACGGGUGAGUAAUGCUUAGGAAUCUGCCUAUUAGUGGGGGACAACAUUCCGAAAGGAAUGCUAAUACCGCAUACGCCCUACGGGGGAAAGCAGGGGAUCUUCGGACCUUGCGCUAAUAGAUGAGCUCUAAGUCAGAUUAGCUAGUUGGUGGGGUAAAGGCCUACCAAGGCGACGAUCUGUAGCGGGUCUGAGAGGAUGAUCCGCCACACUGGGACUGAGACACGGCCCAGACUCCUACGGGAGGCAGCAGUGGGGAAUAUUGGACAAUGGGCGAAAGCCUGAUCCAGCCACGCCGCGUGUGUGAAGAAGGCCUUUUGGUUGUAAAGCACUUUAAGCGAGGAGGAGGCUACUGAGAUUAAUACUCUUGGAUAGUGGACGUUACUCGCAGAAUAAGCACCGGCUAACUCUGUGCCAGCAGCCGCGGUAAUACAGAGGGUGCGAGCGUUAAUCGGAUUUACUGGGCGU